rnacentral:rRNA from 1 species
CCUACGGGAGGCAGCAGUGGGGAAUAUUGGGCAAUGGAGGCAACUCUGACCCAGCAACGCCGCGUGAAUGAUGAAGGUCUUCGGAUUGUAAAGUUCUGUGAUGGGGGAUGAACACAAUGACGGUACCCCAAUAGCAAGCCACGGCUAACUACGUGCCAGCAGCCGCGGUAAUACGUAGGUGGCAAGCGUUAUCCGGAAUGACUGGGCGUAAAGGGUGCGUAGGUGGUUUAGUAAGUUGGCGGUGUAAUUCCGGGGCUCAACCUCGGCGCUACCGCCAAAACUAUUAGACUAGAGUGCAGGAGGGGUAAGUGGAAUUCCUAGUGUAGCGGUGGAAUGCGUAGAGAUUGGGUAGAACACCAGUGGCGAAGGCGACUAUCUGGCUGUACAUUGACGCUGAGGCUCGAAAGCAUGGGGAUCAAACAGGAUUAGAUACCCUGGUAGUC